rnacentral:rRNA from 1 species
UACGGAGGAUCCGAGCGUUAUCCGGAUUUAUUGGGCUUAAAGGGUGCGUAGGCGGCCUUGUAAGUCAGGGGUGAAAGACGGUAGCUUAACUAUCGCAGUGCCUUUGAUACUGCAGGGCUUGAAUGUACUUGAGGUAGGCGGAAUGUGACAAGUAGCGGUGAAAUGCAUAGAUAUGUCACAGAACACCAAUUGCGAAGGCAGCUUACUAAAGUAUGAUUGACGCUGAGGCACGAAAGCGUGGGGAGCAAACAGG